rnacentral:tRNA from 1 species
CCAGGUGUGGCAGAGCAGCAAUUGCGGCGCGCUGUAAACGCGCAGCCCGUCAGGGCUACGGAGGUGCAAGUCCUUCCGCCUGGACCA